rnacentral:misc_RNA from 1 species
UUUCUGUAGGUGAACCUGCGGAAGGAUCAUUAUUGUAUAACCGAGGUGCGAGGGCUGUCGCUGACCCGAAAGGUCGUGCACGCCCGAGUGCCCUCACACGCAUCCAUCUCACCCCUAUGUGCACCACCGCGUGGGUCCCCCUUUGGCUUGUUCGGAGGGGGGCUUACGUUUUCACACAAACUUUGUAUGCAGUGUAGAAUGUAUUUUUUGUUUUUGCGAUCACGCAAUCAAUACAACUUUCAACAACGGAUCUCUUGGCUCUC